GUUAUAUGUUUAGUUAUAUUUUUACUGAUUUUUAUAGAGUAAAGAUAGAAAUAAAACUUAGUAAAAUCAGUAAAAAUAUUCUUAGACUAAAGUUAAGUAGUUUAAGUUGUGUGCAAGUGGUAGGAGAGCGUUCUAUUUGCGUCGAAGGUAUACCGGUAAGGAGUGCUGGAGCGAAUAGAAGUGAGCAUGCAGGCAUGAGUAGCGAUAAUUAAUGUGAGAAUCAUUAACGCCGUAAACCCAAGGUUUCCUACGCGAUGCUCGUCAUCGUAGGGUUAGUCGGGUCCUAAGUCGAGUCCGAAAGGGGUAGACGAUGGCAAAUUGGUUAAUAUUCCAAUACCAACAUUAGUGUGCGAUGGAAGGACGCUUAGGGCUAAGGGGGCUAGCGGAUGGAAGUGCUAGUCUAAGGUCGUAGGAGGUUAUACAGGCAAAUCCGUAUAACAAUACUCCGAGAACUGAAAGGCUUUUUGAAGUCUUCGGAUGGAUAGAAGAACCCCUGAUGCCGUCGAGCCAAGAAAAGUUUCUAAGUUUAGCUAAUGUUGCCCGUACCGUAAACCGACACAGGUGGGUGGGAUGAGUAUUCUAAGGCGCGUGGAAGAACUCUCUUUAAGGAACUCUGCAAAAUAGCACCGUAUCUUCGGUAUAAGGUGUGGUUAGCUUCGUACUAGGAUUUACUCCGAAAGCGAAGAAACUUACAACAAAGAGUCCCUCCCGACUGUUUACCAAAAACACAGCACUCUGCUAACUCGUAAGAGGAUGUAUAGGGUGUGACGCCUGCCCGGUGCUCGAAGGUUAAUUGAUGGGGUUAGCAUUAGCGAAGCUCUUGAUCGAAGCCCGAGUAAACGGCGGCCGUAACUAUAACGGUCCUAAGGUAGCGAAAUUCCUUGUCGGUUAAAUACCGACCUGCAUGAAUGGCGUAACGAGAUGGGAGCUGUCUCAAAGAGGGAUCCAGUGAAAUUGUAGUGGAGGUGAAAAUUCCUCCUACCCGCGGCAAGACGGAAAGACCCCGUGGACCUUUACUACAGCUUGACACUGCUACUUGGAUAAGAAUGUGCAGGAUAGGUGGGAGGCUUUGAGUAUAUGACGCCAGUUGUAUAUGAGCCAUUGUUGAGAUACCACUCUUUCUUAUUUGGGUAGCUAACCAGCUUGAGUUAUCCUCAAGUGGGACAAUGUCUGGUGGGUAGUUUGACUGGGGCGGUCGCCUCCCAAAUAAUAACGGAGGCUUACAAAGGUUGGCUCAGAACGGUUGGAAAUCGUUCGUAGAGUAUAAAGGUAUAAGCCAGCUUAACUGCAAGACAUACAAGUCAAGCAGAGACGAAAGUCGGUCUUAGUGAUCCGGUGGUUCUGUGUGGAAGGGCCAUCGCUCAAAGGAUAAAAGGUACCCCGGGGAUAACAGGCUGAUCUCCCCCAAGAGCUCACAUCGACGGGGAGGUUUGGCACCUCGAUGUCGGCUCAUCGCAUCCUGGGGCUGGAGCAGGUCCCAAGGGUAUGGCUGUUCGCCAUUUAAAGCGGUACGCGAGCUGGGUUCAGAACGUCGUGAGACAGUUCGGUCCCUAUCUGCCGUGGGCGUAAGAAGAUUGAAGAGAUUUGACCCUAGUACGAGAGGACCGGGUUGAACAAACCACUGGUGUAGCUGUUGUUCUGCCAAGAGCAUCGCAGCGUAGCUAAGUUUGGAAAGGAUAAACGCUGAAAGCAUCUAAGCGUGAAGCCAACUCUAAGAUGAAUCUUCUCUAAGCUCUCUAGAAGACUACUAGUUUGAUAGGCUGGGUGUGUAAUGGAUGAAAGUCCUUUAGCUGACCAGUACUAAUAGAGCGUUUGGCUUAUCUUU
rnacentral:rRNA from 1 species